CCUCGUCCCCCUCGUCCCCCUCUCUCUAUCCCCCACUCCCCCGCUUCCUCUGUUCUCUGUCAGAUCUCUUUGUGCUCAGCUGGAGUGGCUGAAGUCCACAAUAAAUAGUACUGCCUAUGCUAUAGGUUCAAUGUGAACAUUGAAGAAGAACCCUGGUUAUUCUAUGGGCUCAAUGCUAACAAGAAAGAUGAACACUGGUAGUGCUACUGGCUCCAUGCUCAUAUUAAACAGCCCUGGUUAAGCUGUAAGCACCGUGCUCAUAUUAAACCUCCCUGGUUACGCUAUAGGCUCCAUGCUAAUAUUAAACAACACUCGUUACGCUACAGGCUCCAUGCUAAUAUUAAACAACACUCGUUACGCUAUAGGCUCCAUGCUAAUAUUAAACAACACUCGUUACGCUAUAGGCUCCAUGCUAAUAAUAAACAACACUCGUUACGCUAAAGGCUCCAUGCUAAUAACAGCCCUGGUUGCACUAAAGGCUCCAUGCUCAUAUUGACCAGGACUGGUUAAGCUGUAGGCUCCAUGAUAAUAUUAAACAGUACAGGUUAAGCUGUAGGCUCCAUGAUAAUAUUAAACAGUACAGGUUAAGCUUUAGGCUCCAUCCUUAAAUUAAACACUAUUAUUUAUGAUGUAGGCUCCAUGCUAACCCCAAACAGUAUGUGUUAUGCUAUGGCUCCAACAUAAUAAUAAUAAUUACUUUGAAUUUGAAUUAUGAACGAGUGUGUGUUUGUGUGUGUGCUUGUGCUUUAAGCAGUGGGUUAGGGACAUUGAGUGAUGUAAUAGGACAUGCUCAGGCCACAUCCUCACCGUAGUCUGAUUCUGUCUGUACAGUUUGACCCAGAAACCACUUACACUCAUUAAAUGAGUCAAGAGUCCAUGCAAGUGCGUGUGUGAGCGUGUGCGCGCGUGUACAUGUGUGCAGUUGUGUGUUUCUGCUUCUAAAGACCGAGAGAAGGAGUAAGAUGUUUCUCAUCCGGAACUUCCUCUCAUCACCCCUGCGGGUGAAUGUUGAAUGGUGUGUGUGCAUCCGCUUAUCCUUAAAAAUAGGUAUUUAUGCAGGUUUACGUGAGUGAGAGAGGGAGUGUAUGAGAGGGAGAGAGAGAGAGAUCUAGAAAGAUCAAGAGUGUGUGUGUGCGUGUGAGUGAAUGUCAUAAUGUGUGUAAAAGUUUGUGUGAGCACCCUUGUGUUUCGAGUGUGUAUGUAUGUGUUAGUGUGUGUGUUUUUGUGUUUGUGUCUGUGUUUGUGUGUGAGAGAGUGUUAGUGUGAGUGUCUGUGUUUGUCUGUGAGUGUGUUUGUGUGUGAGUGUAUGUGUUUGUCUUCGUGCGUGUGUUUGUGUCUGUGUGUGUGUCUGUGUGUGAGUGUGUGUGUUUGUCUGCGUGCGUGUGUUUGUGUCUGUGUGCAUGCGCGAGAGCAAGACUGUUUGUGUGUGUGUGUGUGUGUAUGUUUGUUAGUGUGUGUGUGUGUGUGUGUGUGUGUGUGUGUGUGUGUGUGUGUGUGUGUGUGUGUGUGUGCAGAGGCAUGAGGAUGACACAGGGUCACUGGGCCACGGUUCUGAUGCUAAUGAGUGGAGGAUAUGCAGAGGGUGUCCAUGGGCCUGUGACAAGGUCAGGGGGCUACAGGGUUGCGUGCCACUCUCUGAGCUGCCUGGAAGUGAUCUCUCUACUUUCAUUCACACAUACACACACUCGCUCACUGCCUCAAUAGCUCCCUCACUCACACAACCACACAAACACACACACACAAACAAUUUAGCAAAAGAUGAACGAUAUUCCCGUAGUUGGAAAAUCACAAUCGCAAAGAAAAUAUUUUAAACUCAAGAUAAGGUUAACAUUUAGGUGCAUUUCAGUCCUAGUAUUGUACUAUUUUCAAGCCUUACAGCGUAAUAAGACGAU
ensembl:lncRNA